rnacentral:rRNA from 1 species
GCAGCCACCUUUUAAAACGCGUCAAAGCGUAACCUUAACCCCCAAAAUACCACUAAUUUUCAUGAACCCCUAAUUUAUAAUGAAUGACUCCAUAUUUAUAUGGAAGACACCAUGCUAGGAUUAGUAACAAGAAUUUAUAAUUCUCCAAAAUGCAAAUAUAAACCAACAUGGAUGGACCAUUGGUAGUUACCGAACCUAAAUUCAAUGCAAUAACACCUACAAGAAAACUCUGCAGUACUCACUCGUUAACCUAACACCAGCGCAUUACAGGAAAGAUUAAAAAAAAGAGAAGGAAUUCGGCAAAUGACGGCCCCGCCUGUUUACCAAAAACAUCGCCUCUUGACUUAUAAUAAGAGGUCUAGCCUGCCCAGUGAAUUUUAAACGGCCGCGGUAUCCUAACCGCGCGAAGGUAGCAUAAUCACUUGUUCUUUAAAUGGGGACUCGUAUCAACGGCAUCACGAGGGUUUUACUGUCUCCUCUUUUUGAUCAGUGAAAUUGAUCUUCCCGUGAAGAAGCGGGAAUAAAUUUAUAAGACGAGAAGACCCCAUGGAGCUUUAAACCAAAUAACAACUUAACCACUCACCCCAUAAUAAAUUUAAGCCCUGUUAUAAGGUUUUUGGUUGGGGUGACCGCGGAGUAAAGCAUAUCCUCCACGACGAAAAGAACAGAAUCUUUAUUUAAGAACCACACUUCUAGAAAUUAGUAUACUAACGUUUACUGACCCGACAAUCGAUCAACGGACCAAGUUACCCUGGGGAUAACAGCGCAAUCUACUUCAAGAGCUCAUAUCGACAAGUAGGCUUACGACCUCGAUGUUGGAUCAGGGUAUCCCGGUGGUGCAGCCGCUACCGAAGGUUCGUUUGUUCAACGAUUAAAACCCUACGUGAUCU